rnacentral:snRNA from 1 species
GGAUAUGAAGGCAAUCUGGCUGCAACAUCUGCCACCCCAGCAUUGCCAGAUUGGGCUGAUCCAGCUGGCUAGGUGGGUGUCCAUUCCCUCCCUCACUGCUUCACGUGUGUCCCUCUGAAGCUACACACUUGGUCAAAGAGGACGACCUUCCCCAACAGAAAAGGACCAUUCUUCAUUCACAGUUAUACAUGUAGCUGCGCUCCCUGCUAGAAGCUCUCAAGAUGUGGUGUUUUAUUUGUUACCAUGGCUGAGCCUAACCUUUCCCAAUGCCUGGGCUGAAAGGAAAG